AGUGAACGCUGGCGGUAGGCCUAACACAUGCAAGUCGAACGGCAGCACAGUAAGAGCUUGCUCUUACGGGUGGCGAGUGGCGGACGGGUGAGGAAUACAUCGGAAUCUACUUUUUCGUGGGGGAUAACGUAGGGAAACUUACGCUAAUACCGCAUACGACCUACGGGUGAAAGCAGGGGAUCUUCGGACCUUGCGGGAUUGAAUGAGCCGAUGUCGGAUUAGCUAGUUGGCGGGGUAAAGGCCCACCAAGGCGACGAUCCGUGGCUGGUCUGAGAGGAUGAUCAGCCACACUGGAACUGAGACACGGUCCAGACUCCUACGGGAGGCAGCAGUGGGGAAUAUUGGACAAUGGGCGCAAGCCUGAUCCAGCCAUACCGCGUGGGUGAAGAAGGCCUUCGGGUUGUAAAGCCCUUUUGUUGGGAAAGAAAAGCAGCAGGUUAAUACCCCGCUGUUCUGACGGUACCCAAAGAAUAAGCACCGGCUAACUUCGUG
rnacentral:rRNA from 1 species